AUGACACCACCAUGGAAAUGGAAGUGGGUGAAAACACUGUCUCUGGUUGUACUGAGUUGGCUUCGACACCUCUGAGGGAAGACCACGAUUACACAGUCAGCUCUUUCAUCGUGGUCGACCGUGAGAAAUUCGAGAGCAUGUCGAGGCAGAUCGAGGAGCUCACACGGCAGAUCGAAACACUGCACAUGGAGAGAUUUGGAUUGCAACGGUUUUCUACAUCACCUAGUGACAUUCGCUACUAUUCCAGAUUUCCAUCAUAUGAACAUUUGAUGGCCUUUUGGGAUCUAAUUCAAGAGGCAACAAGCUGAAUGGUGAGAGUCACCAGUGGUCAGAAGAACCUCUCCACCAGUACAUCCACUGAGACCCCUAUGAACAGACCAACAAAACUGCUGCCAAUUGACGAGCUCUUCCUCUUCCUCAACUACCUGUCAACCGGCUGUACACAAAGGGAGCUUGGUCACAAGUUCAAUAUCCACAGAGCAACAGCAAGCAGAAUAAUUGUGACGUGGUCCAACUUUUUGUGUACUUUGCUUG